rnacentral:lncRNA from 1 species
AAUUGUAAGAGGGCUUUUUCUCUCACAUAGGUAACAGAUGCAAGACUCUGAUGAGCUCUGAGAGCGGGAUAUCUGUGCCCUAGAUUUUUGUUUCCUACUUAAAAGUCAACUGACCGGGAACCUGAAUUAUCCCUGAGCUAACAUCUGCUGCCAUUCCUCCUCUUUUUGCUGAGGAAGACUGGUCCUGCGCUAACAUCCAUGCCCAUCAUCCUCUGCUUUAUAUGUUGGAUGCCUGCCACAGCAUGGCUUGAUAUGUGGUGCAUAUGUCACCCCAUGGGAUCCGAACCAGUGAACCAGGGCCAUCAAAGUGGAGAGCUCAAACUUGACCUCUAUACCACAGAGCCAGCCUCAAGUUUAAUAUGUUGCUGUCCUAAAGUCAGCUGCUUCACAGGCUGGCCUAAACACGCUGAGAAAUUGUGAAACCGGCUCUCCUAGAACCAGACUAUCCCUGUCUGGGUUAUAAAGGAAAAUGCUAGGAUUUUAUUGAGUGGUUCAGGCCAGUGAUGAGGACAACUUUGGAGAGAAUUUGAGAAGGCUUUAGUACACGGCUGCAUUCUGUGCUUUCACCAUAUGAAAGGAGACGGGACUACUACAGCCUUUCUCAAGCUAAGUGAUGGGGUCUUCAAUAAGCUUCUAAGAUUACUUGACAUACUUAUGGUGCAGUUUAAGGAACGUAGUAGCAUCCAGUGCUUGGAUUAUGCCUAAAGAAGAUGUGUUCAUUGCAGUUGCCCCUACCUGUGGCAUAGCAAAGAGACAGGGGUGUAUUGGGGCCACAGUCGCAGCAGUGUGUAAGUUUCCCACAGGACACAUAUUGGCUCCAUGAGAACUACUUCUGCAAUUCCGACAUGACAUUUGAAAAGGUUUGGGUUGCUGGAAACCCCAAAGUCAGGGGAUAGUUUUAAGUUGCCAGUUGGAGAUGGCAUUGCCCAUGGGAAAUAUACUGCAGAUGAAGGAUCCUCAGUAAUAUGAGUUGAGGGACUAUUUAAAGAACCCCGAAAACCACGAUAAGAGAAAAAGAAUCAGCGUUGGAUUCUGCCACAUCCAGAGCAUCAGCAUUAAAUUAAGCAUCUGAUUUGGGGCUUUCCCUGUGGCCAAGUGGUUAAGUUCGUGCACUCCCCUGCAGGCGGCCCAGUGUUUCGUUGGUUCGAAUCCUGGGCGCAGACAUGGCACUGCUCAUCAAACCUCGCUGAGGCAGCGUCCCACAUGCCACAACUAGAAGGUCCCACCACGAAG